GACGAACGCUGGCGGCGUGCUUAACACAUGCAAGUCGAGCGGAGAGGCGAACGGGUGAGUAACGCGUGAGUAACUGCCCCCCUCUCUGGGAUAACAGUUGGAAACGGCUGCUAAUACCGGAUAGUUGGGGAUGACUCGCGUCCUAUCAGCUUGUUGGUGGGGUAGUGGCCUCCCAAGGCGACGACGGGUAGCCGGCCUGAGAGGGCGACCGGCCACCAGGGGCUGAGAGACGGACCAGACGCCUGCGGGAGGCAGCAGGGGGGAGUAUUGCACAAUGGGGGAAACUGUGAUGCAGAAACGCCGCGUGCGGGAUGACGGCCUUCGGGUUGGAAACCGCUUUCAGCCAUGACGCGGUAGUGGCAGAAGAAGCACCGGCUAACUACGUGCCAGCAGCCGCGGUAAUUC
rnacentral:rRNA from 1 species